AAGUGAAGGAGAAGGCAAGAGUGGGCUCCGUCACGUCAAGGCCCCGGGUUUUCCGGCCAAAAGGACAGUCCCACCCGCGGCCGGAUCGCCGCCACGUGCUCCGCCUCCUGGUCGUCGCUGGGUCGGACGACCGAUGGGGACUUUUGCCUUUUUGAAAAUUUCAAUUCCCCUGUUCAUGCCAUCGUUUUCUACCUCCUGGUAGCAAUGAUGAGACAAGUGAGAGAGAGAGACUUUUCUCUCUCUUUCUUCCGCAAUGGAAGUUAAAUGAACAGGGACCGGAGAAGGUGGACCGCAAUAAAUGGCGGAAUCGAGAUCGAGGUCGCGGCCGUAGCCGUCUCCAUGGCGGCGUUGCAGCAGAGUCUGCAGGUUUCGGAAUUCAAAACGAGCAGGAGAAGAUAGAUAGAGAGAGAGAGAGAGAGAGAGAGAGAGGGGCGAGUGGUCCAUACUCCCUCUGCUGCUUAAUUCUUCUGCUGCAUGCUUGCAGAGUUGCAGUAGCAGCGGCGGUGGCAGGAAGAAAAAAGGCGGAGAACAUUACGGCGGUGGCAGUGGAGAUCAUUCUUCGUUGCUUUUUGAUCUAUUGGGGUCAUCGGAGGAGAUUAGCUAGGGAGAGGGUUGGAUGGAUUAGGAGGUAUAAUUGAGGCGGAGUAGUGGGAUAUGGCAGGAUUCUUCCUCGGAGGCGGCGGGCAACCACCGCGGGGGGGCGCAGGAGCUGGCGGCGGCGCGUCUGAGGGUGGAUUCUUUCUUUACACCGGCGGAGGCCGCGGCGGCGGCGAGUACGGCGCUGCGCGCGGAUUCGAGCUGUGGCAGAAGGAGCAGCAUCGCCAGCAGUUUUACUCCGGUGCGGUAGGGUUCUCUGACGACGGGGCGGCGCAGCAGCCGCGGGUGACGCGUGGUGGCCUGGUGGGCGGCGGGAUGAGCUGCCAGGACUGCGGUAACCAGGCGAAGAAGGACUGCGUCCACCUCCGGUGCCGCACCUGCUGCAAGAGCCGCGGCUUCCCCUGCCCCACCCACGUCAAGAGCACCUGGGUCUCCGCCGCGAAGCGUCGGGAGCGCCAGCAGCAGCUAGUCGCAGCCGCCGCACAGGCCGAUGCCCGGCAGCAGCGCGGCGCCUCCGCUAGCAGCGAGGGCGGCGCGGAGACUUUCAAGCGGCCCCGCGAGGUCUCCGCCGCCGCCGCCGCCGCCGCCCUGGCAACCACCACGUUCGGUUGGCGAGCCGGAGAGCUUCCCGGCGGAGGUGAGCGCGCCGGCGGUGUUCCGCUGCGUGCGGGUCAGCCACGUGGACGAACCCGACGACGCGUACGCCUACCAUGCGGCGGUCAGCAUCGGCGGUCACGUCUUCAAGGGCCUGCUCUACGACCACGGCCCCGCCGCCGAAGCUGACCCACCAGAGUACCUUACCGGCGCCUCCAUCUCCGGCGCCGGCGAUCAAACCAUCAACACCCCUCCCAUCACAACUACCGGCGACCGCCUUCUCGACCCCUACCCGACCCCGCUGAGCGCAUUCAUGGCCGCCACCCAAUGCUUCUCCAAUCAACACGCUCCUUGAGCACGGAAGUGUGUCUUUUUGUUCCCGAGAUUGAAGGCACAAUUUACGGGAUUCCCGGGAUCUACCUGAUUCUUGCUUCUCCAUGUUUAUGAAAUCAACUCAAAACAAUUAUUACUCAAUAAUAUUUUGAUUAUUCAGAAACAAAUAUUUGAAUCACUGCUCAUUAUCGAUCAUGUUCUUCAUUUCGUAUGUAGCUAUAAUCUGAGAGACAGAAGAGAAGCAGGUAUGUAUAAAUAUAUACAUUUAUUAAUAUUUUUAUAUGUGUUUAGU